AGUGAACGCUGGCGGUAGGCCUAACACAUGCAAGUCGAACGGCAGCACAGUAAGAGCUUGCUCUUACGGGUGGCGAGUGGCGGACGGGUGAGGAAUACAUCGGAAUCUACUUUUUCGUGGGGGAUAACGUAGGGAAACUUACGCUAAUACCGCAUACGACCUACGGGUGAAAGCAGGGGAUCUUCGGACCUUGCGCGAUUGAAUGAGCCGAUGUCGGAGUAGCUAGUUGGCGGGGUAAAGGCCCACCAAGGCGAGGAUCCGUAGCUGGUCUGAGAGGAUGAUCAGCCACACUGGAACUGAGCCACGGUCCAGACUCCUACGGGAGGCAGCAGUGGGGAAUAUUGGACAAUGGGCGCAAGCCUGAUCCAGCCAUACCGCGUGGGUGAAGAAGGCCUUCGGGUUGUAAAGCCCUUUUGUUGGGAAAGAAAAGCAGCAGGUUAAUACCCCGCUGUUCUGACGGUACCCAAAGAAUAAGCACCGGCUAACUUCGUG
rnacentral:rRNA from 1 species